GCAUAGACUCCGGAGUCCAGAACUAACCACACAAUACACACGCACACACCAAGGGUACCCACGCUGUAACAACAAUUAAACAAGAACCACAGGAUGACAGAGAGUAAAAUGGCCAUGUACAUGUUAAUGACACCAGUGCUGAAUAAACGAAGUAUAGCAAUCCUCAGCCUUCACCCACCAGGCUGGUCCCAGUAUAACACAAGUAUUAAUGAGAGCACAGUAAUAAACAAACAAAAUCCCAGCCCCACCGGCUGUAAUGCGUUCCCUGCCCGCUAGGCAGUCAAGCUAACUUAAAAUCCCAGCCCCUCCGGCUGUAAAAUCCCAGCCCCACCGGCUGUAAUGCGUUCCCUGCCCGCUAGGCAGUCAAGCUAACUUAAAAUCCCAGCCCCACCGGCUGUAAUGCGUUCCCUGCCCGCUAGGCAGUCAAGCUAACUUAAAAUCCCAGCCCCACCGGCUGUAAAAUCCCAGCCCCACCGGCUGUAAUGCGUUCCCUGCCCGCUAGGCAGUCAAGCUAUCGUCUUUUAAAAAGGGGGAAAACACACACUCCGGCCGACACUCACAUUCAAACAAAUACAGGAGGCAGAUAGACAAUCGACAGGUUCACCUUAAAAAGGCACACCGGAUGAGUUAAUUACCUGUCUCUAGUAGCCUUCUGGAAGCCGGAAGUGGACUCGGAGACAGACCGACACAAAACAGGAGAAUAACACAGGCAACGGCUGUAUUAUGGAGGUGAUCAGGCUCCGCUUGUCCCACUUUCCGGAGGUCCGCUCCGGUCCGUUGGUUCCGGCCCUCCGAACCGGCCCUCCGGUGGCCCCACGUUGGGCGCCAAUUGAAAUGGAAAAAUCAAUUAAAAGUAUUGAUUAUUUCUUUGUGUAUCUGCCCCUGGCCAAAUCAAUGAAACAGUGCGUGCACGCUCCCUGAAGUAAUUCACACCAGACACAGGUUCCAGGUUGUUGAAUAACUUGAGGAAUGUUUAUUCAGAGGGGACGGCAAGUCCCUUUUAAAGCAAAAUUACAUCAUAAGCAUUGUCAGAGAUAACAUGGAAUAAUACAUCAAUUAUUGGUUAGGUGUUAAGUGGUUGCUCUAAUGUUCUGCCUACUGUAGGUGAUGUCACCGGGACCAUGAGGGUCUCCCACGGUUUCCCGGCGCCAUCUUGGUGCACGAGGUAGUUAGUCGAUGUUAGGAAGGAGAAAGGGAAGGGGGGGGGGAAAGGAGCAAGAAGCUUCUAGCAGCCAUCUUAAUUAUAACGUGUGUGCUUAACUAUAUA